AUUGAACGCUGGCGGCCGGCCUAAAACAUGCAAGUCGAGCGAGCGGCGGACGGGUGAGUACUGUAUGGGGACUGCCCGAUAGAGAGGGAUAAGUCAUGGAAACGGGGGCUAAUACAGCAUACGGUCGGAGAACCAACAUGGGAGUAGCUAGUAGGGAAGGUAAAGGCUUAACUAGGCGACGAUCCCUAGUUGGUCUGAGAGGAUGACCAGCCACACUGGGACUGAGACACGGCCCAGACGCCUACGGAGGCAGCAGUGGGGAAUAUUGCACAAUGGUCGCAAGCCUGAUGCAGCCAUGCCGCGUGUAUGAAGAAGGCCCUAGGGUUGUAAAGUACUUUCAGUCGGGAUGCGUUACCGACAGAAGAAGCACCGGCUAACUCCGUGCCAGCAGCCGCGGUAAUUC
rnacentral:rRNA from 1 species